rnacentral:rRNA from 1 species
ACUCAAAGGAAUAGACGGGGGCCCGCACAAGCAGCGGAGCGUGUGGUUUAAUUCGAUGCAACGCGAAGAACCUUACCAGGGCUUGACAUGGCGCGUUCAGCCGGCGAAAGCCGGUGGCCGCAAGGCGAGCGUCACAGGUGCUGCAUGGCUGUCGUCAGCUCGUGCCGUGAGGUGUUGGGUUAAGUCCCGCAACGAGCGCAACCCCCGGGCCCAGUUGUGUUUCUGGGCCGACGGCCGGGACCAACCCGGAGGAAGGUGGGGACGACGUCAAGUCAGCACGGCCCUUACGUCCUGGGCUACACACACGCUACAAUGGCCGGUACAGCGGGCGGUGCGAAGCCGCGAGGCGGAGCGAAUCCCUGCAAAGCCGGCCGUAGUGCAGAUCGGGGGCUGCAACCCGCCCCCGUGAAGCCGGAGUUGCUAGUAACCGCGGGUCAGCACACCGCGGUGAAUACGUUCCCGGGCCUUGUACACACCGCCCGU